GGCUUGGUGGUGGAUGGCCCACGUCUGCCUUCCGUGAAGAGCAGACGGCAUCGUAGCAAGCAGAAGAAGCCCGUUCGAUUCGGGCCCGGGCCA